AGUUUGUGGAGCAUCUGCUGGUGGUCCAGGAGAGCUGGCUGGUCAUGUGGUGCUUCCCUUUCAUUUUUCAUUUCAAAAAAAGGCCAGUGAAAAUAAGGAUAAGGAGGCAGUUUGCUGCUAAUGGCUGUUUCUACCCGGGGGAAGAGAAGAAAGGAGUCUGGAGCUGCUAAUUAAGGACUGGAGCCACCAGUGGGACUGAGGCUACCAAACAUCCACAGCAGAAGAAUGUCCAGGGAAGUAACAGAGGGAAUGAGACAGCCAGGAGAAAAUUGGCUUCUCAUGAAAAAUGGACACUUCUGCCAGGUUGCAUGGGAAAUAGGGAUUUGGGAACAACCUACAGGCUUCUUCUGUGUGCAUCAUAGAGACUAGACAUACUUCAGAGAUGCUGGGAUGAAGAAUUGGUUACACUCCAUUGACUUCAGAACCCUUUUUGACCUAUGGAAUCUCAGCAAGUCACUUCUCCAGCAACGUGGUAAUCCUCCAGCUGUGAUGUAUGGACUAUCUGUUGUCCUCAGAGCAUCAGCAGGUGGUCCAGAAAGAGAUGCACAAGGUGCUC
rnacentral:lncRNA from 1 species